AAUUUUUCCAUGUCUUUGUCAUCUUAUUUUAUAUUUUUAAAGUCGUUCACGUUAUCACCAGAAUUUGGUUCCUAGUUUUUCUUGAAAUUCUUGGUGGAUUUACUUUACAGGAAAAGUAGACAAUUUUCUUCUUUUUAAGUUUCUGAUUUUUCGCCUGUUUAGUUGAAUCUUUGAGGAACAGUUUCGCGCGAACUUCAUUGCCAUCUGCGGUUCCAGUUUCAGAUUCCGAUCUCGUUUUGGAUUCAGUCUUGCCAAAAUGGCGAAGCGUGGAUAUAAGCUGCAGGAAUUUGUGGCUCAUACAACAAAUGUGAAUUGUCUAAGUAUGGGAAAAAAGACAUGUAGGCUUCUUAUUACCGGCGGAGAUUAUCAUAAAGUUAAUGUUUGGUCAAUUGGAAAACCUUCUUGUCUAAUGAGCCUAUGUGGU